rnacentral:rRNA from 1 species
GACGAACGCUGGCGGCGUGCUUAACACAUGCAAGUCGAACGGAAAGGCCCUGCUUUUGUGGGGUGCUCGAGUGGCGAACGGUUGAGUAACACGUGAGUAACCUGCCCUUGACUUUGGGAUAACUUCAGGAAACUGGGGCUAAUACCGGAUAGGAGCUCCUGCUGCAUGGUGGGGGUUGGAAAGUUUCGGCGGUUGGGGAUGGGCUCGCGGCUUAUCAGCUUGUUGGUGGGGUAGUGGCUUACCAAGGCUUUGACGGGUAGCCGGCCUGAGAGGGUGACCGGACACAUUGGGACUGAGAUACGGCACAGACUCCAACGGGAGGCAGCAGUGGGGAAUAUUGCACAAUGGGCGGAAGCCUAAUGCAGCCAAGCCGCGUGCGGGAUGACGGCCUUCGGGUUGUAAACCGAUUUCGCCUGUGACGAAGCGUGAGUGACGGUAAUGGGUAAAGAAGCCCCGGCUAACUACGUG